ACAAUCCCAGCAAUAAUUCUCCAGAUAGUGCUUGUUCUCACUGUCACGACCCAUUAAAUGGACUUCAGACAUUGUGAUUCACAUUCUUCGCAAGAUUAAUCAGCCUUAACUUGGUUUGUUGACAAUCAAAGAGCAUGUCUGGAAGCUACAAAAAUGCGGUCACAAAGUCGUUUUCGAUAGUAUCAAGCCUAGCAGCUCGGCAGUUGAUCUGACGAUGUAUGAUGUGGUUCACACAUGGAUUAUUGCUCUACCUCGUAGUGUGUCCAGCACAUCUCAUUGCUAUCUUCUUAGUAGACAAAAGGAAGUUUUAGUUGAUGCAGUAUCUACAAGGCUCUC
rnacentral:lncRNA from 1 species